GACGGAGGGUGCUAGCGUUGUUCGGAAUCACUGGGCGUAAAGGGCGCGUAGGCGGCCUCAGGUGUCGGAUGUGAAAGCCCGGGGCUCAACCCCGGAGGUGCAUCCGAAACUCUGGGGCUGGAGGUCGGAAGAGGAGGGUGGAAUACCCAGUGUAGAGGUGAAAUUCGUAGAUAUUGGGUGGAACACCGGUGGCGAAAGCGGCUCUCUGGACCGGACCUGACGCUGAGGCGCGAAAGCGUGGGGAGCAAACAGG
rnacentral:rRNA from 1 species